rnacentral:rRNA from 1 species
UGCAGUAAUGCAUUGAGCUUACCAAUACUAAUUGACCGUGAGGCUUGACCAUAUAAUAG